rnacentral:rRNA from 1 species
UUGUCGAAACCUGCCUAGCAGAACGACCCGAGAACUAGUUUCAAAGCGGGGGACGAGGGGCCGUCUCGGCGUGCUCCUCGUCCCUUUAUCCCGGGGGGGUUCAUACCCUUCCGGGCGUACAAACGAACACCGGCGCGAAUUGCGCCAAGGAACUUGAACGAGAGAGCGCGUCCCCGUCGCCCCGGAAACGGCGUGCGCGGGCGGCGUCGUCAUCUUCAAAUAUGUCAAAACGACUCUCGGCAACGGAUAUCUCGGCUCUCGCAUCGAUGAAGAACGUAKCGAAAUGCGAUACUUGGUGUGAAUUGCAGAAUCCCGUGAACCAUCGAGUCUUUGAACGCAAGUUGCGCCCGAAGCCAUUAGGCCGAGGGCACGCCUGCCUGGGCGUCACACGUCGUUGCCCCCCCCAUCUACUCCUUCGGGAUUGCGGGGGGCGGAUGAUGGCCUCCCGUGCGCCUCGUCGCGCGGUUGGCAUAAAURCCAAGUCCUCGGCGACGCACGCCACGACAAUCGGUGGUUGCGAAACCUCGGUUGCCCGUCGUGCGCGGUCG